GCAAUGGGCGAAAGCCUGACGGAGCAAUACCGCGUGAGGGAGGAAGGCUCUUGGGUUGUAAACCUCUUUUCUCAGGGAAGAAAAAAAUGACGGUACCUGAGGAAUAAGCAUCGGCUAACUCCGUGCCAGCAGCCGCGGUAAUACGGAGGAUGCAAGCGUUAUCCGGAAUGAUUGGGCGUAAAGCGUCCGCAGGUGGCGAUGAAAGUCUGCUGUUAAAGAGUGAGGCUCAACCUCAUAAAAGCAGUGGAAACUACAUAGCUAGAGUACGUUCGGGGCAGAGGGAAUUCCUGGUGUAGCGGUGAAAUGCGUAGAGAUCAGGAAGAACACCGGUGGCGAAAGCGCUCUGCUAGGCCUGUACUGACACUGAGGGACGAAAGCUAGGGGAGCGAAUGGGAU
rnacentral:rRNA from 1 species